rnacentral:lncRNA from 1 species
UUAAUGAUCCCGGGACCCCGAAAAAUCCUAACCACAGUUACGUCACACCUUCUUUCCAUCAAUUUCAGUAACCCACAACGUACAAGAAGGCGACGCGGCGGCUGAACGGCGCGGCGUUUGACCUCGUAUUUGCACAUCUGGCCUACCAAAAGCCCGAUUUGUCCCAUUUGGAGUAACCCGAAAGCGCUGGUAUUUACCCCAAGGGUGAAUCACCUGAAAAGGAAUGAAUUGAGAGGAUUGAGGAGACUCAGGGUUUAACGGGAUCGGCUCCAAGGGUGCGAAAGGCGAACAGGUGCGAGCGGCGGAACCCCGCGGGCCCCUCGACUUGCGGACGGUAGAAGAGAAGAAGUCGGUCACAACCAUGGUUGAUGUUGUCGAAAAGCGUCUCCGAGCGGCUAGAGUUGCAGGUCAAAGAGAUCGUCAUGGGUGAUUCGAAAUGUAGGGAAUUAACAGUAUGUGAAGGUGCAGAACCUUUUAAAGGAAAACGAACUACAAGACCGAUGAUCAAAAAAAUGAAUUCAUCAACAAAUACGUUUUUAUUUGUGUAAUAAACUUUGUCGAUAUGUUAA